ACACACACACACUAGUUCAUGAAUGCCUUAGAUUGUACAUUUGAAUGAAUUAUAUAUUUAUAUUUAAAUGUUAGCAAUUAUUUGUUGUGUGUGUGUGUGUGUGUCUGUGUGUCUGCGAUUCUGAGAUGUGUUUCUGCUUUAAGCCACAGUGUCUGUCUGCUCUUCCAUUCUAAUGAGGCUUCUCCCCCAUAUCCACCCCUCCCACCCCUUCCUCCAGGCCUGUUAGUUGGGCGUCAGUCUCAUGGCUGCUUGUUUGUAGAGGAAAAAUGGAUCCUUUAAACAGGCGCUGGCAGAGUGAAGGCGCUUUUAUGAGCUCUGAUAGAGGAUGCAGAGCAGUGGACGCCACCGGCUUAGGGUCACAGGUUCAGACCUGCUUAUUUGCUUAUUUGGAAAUAGCAUCAGCUUUUCCACGUCAAAACACAAACUGCACAAACCUAAUCCAUCCCGUAAUGUUUUCCUCACCCCCAUGUUGAAGAACUUGGACACUAGCUCGUACUUAGCGAUCAAUCACACUUGAAAUACAAACAAUAACAGUAACUACACUAGCAGCUCGCUAGGUUGUGUAAACUUUCCUGUGAGGUUCAUCCGUUCUGAGUCCUGAGUCACUGGUCAACAAUCAGGUAGUGUCAACACCAUGACCAGAGGUGACAUUGACGUGCCCUAGCUCAGGGCACAAGUGACUUUCAAUUUAACAACAACAAGAAAAAAAAAAAUUGAAGGAACAUUUCAGGAUUUCCUGUUUACUUGGAAUUUUAUGGUCGCGGAGAUGCACGUCCUCGCUCUGAAUUCCACGUUAGUGCCACUGUCCUGUAGCAAGCCACAUUUAACGCGGCGUAGCUCCACUAUAAAUACUCGGCCGUGGAUUUUGCCUCAGUGCAAUUCUAGGGCUCUGUGGGUUUUAAGUAUUUGUUGUGAGGGGAAAGAGUGGGUUUGCCCUUAAAAAUACAUGUGCGCAUGUAUUUAUAUCGCCAUCGUCUUCCGUCCGUCAGAGAACAACUAUUAUUUAACAAAAAUAAAAUAAAGAAAUAAAAACUAAAAGACAAACUUAACGUUGCUCGUGCUGUCAGGGGUAAUAGAACAGUCCUCUGGAAAUGCAUCCCAGAAGUGAAAUGAGGUCAGAGCAUCUGCAGACGCCUAAGGCAGCCACCAAGGCAUCUGUUGGUGAAUGUGGAGAUGGAGAGUCUGCUCUAUUCAUUUCAGUGAUAAAAUAAGAGCGGCCUCACUGUUGUUGUUGCUGUUUAAAUGAGUCACCUGGGUGCCAAAGACAGGUCGCUGCCCAGGCCAACCUAGCUGGUCUCAAGUGGAUUUGAACACAGUGUUCUUGCUAUGUGAAAAAAACACCCGUAAAUUUAACGCUUCAAAAACAAAGGGAAAAAAAUCACAGUGCUGUCAUCCAUAUUCAUUUCUGGAAUGCUUUCUUGUGUGUGAUUCCCUGCCAAAGAUAUGUCCUUUAAUAGGGCUGAAACUUGACUAUGCUCUUUUCCGGCAUGUAAAGUUAGAUAUUGCAGAGGAAACACAUUUGACAGCAUAAAUUACUCAUAAACAAUGUGAUUUUUAUGGCCCUAUUUUUCUCUAAGCGACUAUGUGAAUGUCAGGACAAUUUCUCUCCACCAUUCUCUCUCUGUCUCUCUCUCUCUCUCUCUCUCUCUCUCUCUCUCUCUCCCCUCCGUUAGCGCUCCUACUGAAAGGAUUGGGUGUCUCUGUACAGAGAUAUGACAUGCUUGGACAGGGCUGUGGAGUGCCAGUGGCGUCUCCUCCAUCAAGGCCAACACACAGGCCAAGCUUCAGGGAGGCACCUGUACUUUUGCCUUGACAUAACCUUUGACCUGGAUGGAGUUUGGAACAUUUGGAACAAACGUUCCCUUUCAUUGUGAAACCCCUCGGAGUACAUACAGUAUUUUCACAGCACUGGCAAGGACUCCUGCAUGGUAUAUUUGUCUGGUAUAUUUGUCCUUUCUCGGACUCCAGUUCAGUGCCUUGGAGCAGGCCAAACCCAUCGGGUGCUAGUGUCUGUCAACAGCACAUCCCUCAAAGGUGUACGAUUGACUGUGACUGUGAGUCUUCCCAAGUUCCUGUUGCAGAGUGAGGAAUCUGACCGUCAGUGACCGAAUUUGUCACCCGGUCAUUAAAUAUUCCGAGGUGAUCAACUACUACACAGGAAACACUCAGGCGCAUCCACUCCAGCAAAUGGAGAGUGCCAGGCCCCUGCUGCUCGCCCCUGAGCCUCCAGCGCAGGACACAAUCUCGCUGCAUCUCAUAAAUGUUUCACCUCUUCUGCCUGCGCUUGGCCCCGGCAAUGACAGCAUCCUCUCCGGGUGGUAAACGCCACUGCGCUCUGUGCUCUGUGGUGGUGUGCAAAUGAGGGGCAGACUCGCAAAUGAGCGCACCGACAGGCCGCCACUGCGCUCUGGAGCGCUCUCUUUUUUUGUUGGCCGUCUAGGCAUGCAGGGCAACACAAGCGAUUCCCAAUGUGGAAGACUCAGAAGCCCCGACAGCCUUGAACACACCGUCGUACAUUUUUCCUCCCCUUUUUUGUCCUCCGACGCUCACAGCUAGAUCCUGGACCAGGCGCUUGCCAGAGAGCUGGGCCUGCUGUCUCGUCACGCAGUGCGAGCUAAACAUGUUUGCCAUUAAAAUCUCCUUAUCUGC